rnacentral:rRNA from 1 species
AUUUUCUUUAAAUUCAAAGAAUUUGGCGGUGAUUCAAUCUGGUCAGAGGAACCUGUUUUUUAAUCGAUAUAACACGUAAGAACUUACUUAUUUUUAUUUAGUUUGUAUACCAUCAUUAUCAGAUAAUUUUACAAAAAAUAAAUUAUUAAAAAUAAUUAUAUUAGUUAAAUUAGAUCAAGGUGCAGCUUAUGGAUAAGUUAAAGUGGGUUACAAUAAGAUUUACUUAGACGAAAUAAGAUUAGUUAUGAAUCUUAGGAAGGAGGAUUUGAUUGUAAUAUGAAUUUAAUAAGUUUAGGUGAAAGAAGCUCUGAAUUGUGUACACAUCGCC